rnacentral:pre_miRNA from 1 species
UUACUACUCCCUCCGUUCGGAAUUACUUGUCCCGGAAAUGAAUGUAUCUAAAAAAAUACAUCUAGAUACAUUUAUUUCCGAGACAAGUAAUUUCGAACGGAGGGAGUACGUU